UGCUUAGGAAUCUGCCUAUUAGUGGGGGACAACAUCUCGAAAGGGAUGCUAAUACCGCAUACGUCCUACGGGAGAAAGCAGGGGAUCUUCGGACCUUGCGCUAAUAGAUGAGCCUAAGUCGGAUUAGCUAGUUGGUGGGGUAAAGGCCUACCAAGGCGACGAUCUGUAGCGGGUCUGAGAGGAUGAUCCGCCACACUGGGACUGAGACACGGCCCAGA
rnacentral:rRNA from 1 species